rnacentral:rRNA from 1 species
AUUGAACGCUGGCGGCAUGCCUUACACAUGCAAGUCGAACGGCAGCGCGGACUUCGGUCUGGCGGCGAGUGGCGAACGGGUGAGUAACAUAUCGGAACGUGCCCUGGAGUGGGGGAUAACUAGUCGAAAGACUAGCUAAUACCGCAUACGCCCUGAGGGGGAAAGUGGGGGAUCGCAAGACCUCAUGCUCGUGGAGCGGCCGAUAUCUGAUUAGCUAGUUGGUGGGGUAAAGGCCUACCAAGGCGACGAUCAGUAGCUGGUCUGAGAGGACGAGCAGCCACCCUGUGCAUGAGACACGGCCCAGACUCCUCCGGGAGGCAGCAGGGGGGAAUUUUGGACAAUGGGGGCAACCCUGAUCCAGCAAUGCCGCGUGAGUGAAGAAGGCCUUCGGGUUGUAAAGCUCUUUUGUCCGGGAAGAAAUCCCAUCCCUGAAUACGGGAUGGGGAUGACGGUACUGGAAGAAUAAGCACCGGCUAACUACGUGCCAGCAGCCGCCGUAA